UACGGGGGGGCGAGCGUUGUUCGGAAUUACUGGGCGUAAAGGGCGCGUAGGCGGUUCGCUAAGUUGGAUGUGAAAACUCUGGGCUCAACCCAGAGCCUGCAUCCAAAACUGGCGGGCUAGAGUCCGGAAGAGGCGAGUGGAAUUCCUGGUGUAGCGGUGAAAUGCGCAGAUAUCAGGAGGAACACCAAUGGCGAAGGCAGCUCGCUGGGACGGUACUGACGCUGAGGCGCGAAAGCGUGGGGAGCAAACAGG
rnacentral:rRNA from 1 species